CGGAUAGCGCUAGUGCCUGUGGAAACACAGGUAGACGAGGUAGAGAAGUAUCGAGUUUUCAGCGGAUGUCUCUCGGCAGCUCUGGUCGUUACAUGACGGUAAAACAGGUUGGCAACAGUCUGGACAAGUUCGUUA
rnacentral:ncRNA from 1 species